rnacentral:snoRNA from 1 species
GGAUUGAUGGUGGCUUCUAAAAUUGAUCUUUGGACAUUUGAACAAACUGAGUGACAGAAUCACUUUUUGAAACUGGUUUC